UCCUCACUAGCUCAGUGAUAGAGUAGUCGGUUGUUAAUCGAUUGGUCGUAGGUUCAAAUCCUACUUGGGGAG
rfam:Erythranthe guttata cultivar DTN x IM62 scaffold_385_contig_5, whole genome shotgun sequence.